rnacentral:rRNA from 1 species
GACGAACGCUGGCGGCGUGCCUAAUACAUGCAAGUCGAGCGAAGUUUUUCUGGUGCUUGCACUAGAAAAACUUAGCGGCGAACGGGUGAGUAACACGUAAAGAACCUGCCUCAUAGACUGGGACAACUAUUGGAAACGAUAGCUAAUACCGGAUAACAAUAUUUUUCGCAUGAAAGAUACUUAAAAGUUGGUUAUGCUAACACUAUGAGAUGGCUUUGCGGUGCAUUAGCUAGUUGGUGGGGUAAAGGCCUACCAAGGCGACGAUGCAUAGCCGACCUGAGAGGGUGAUCGGCCACACUGGGACUGAGACACGGCCCAGACUCCUACGGGAGGCAGCAGUAGGGAAUCUUCCGCAAUGGGCGAAAGCCUGACGGAGCAACGCCGCGUGAGUGAAGAAGGAUUUCGGUUCGUAAAGCUCUGUUGUUAGGGAAGAAUGGAUAUGUAGUAACUAUACAUAUAAGA